GUUUGAAACUGAAUGAUCACUGCGGUCCUUUUCAACCCAGGCCAUUCUGUGAUUCUAUGAAGACUUCAUUCUAGUUGCAGUUUGGGUUAUGUGAAUGGUCGUUAUUGUACUCACUGCUUCAGGGCCUGCCCUCUGUGAUUCACAGGUUGCCCUCUUCUUGGAAAACUUCCAUGAACCUUCAGAAAUGGGAAGGCUUUGAGAUGAGUUAGUGGACUAAAACCAUCAAUAGGAAAGCAUUGAUGGUAUUGAAUAUCCAACCUCAUGAGUAAACAGGUCUUAUUGCUUACUCCUAGGCGUAUUUCACCCAUUUUCUUUUGUUGGAAAUACUGCUCACACUAUUCUGGUCACUCCAACAGCCAGCUUUAUGUCACCAGCAUACCUUCCUAAAGAAUGAGAUUUUGGUUCUAGCUCAACAUAUGGACCUCAGAAUGACUAGAUGACGUGAUCGAUCUCUCUCCCUCCCUCACAGCAUGUUGCUGUAAGUAGAAAGGAGACACAGCACAUAAGAAGAUCAGACUGACCCUUGUAGCUGGAAUAACAACAAAAAAGCGACCCAGAAAGACAGUCUCUGCAGAAUAUUGUUUGCACAGCACCACUAACAUCUGAUCAUUGGUUGUUACAGGACUUCUGCACAGCCCAGCUGAAGAUGGGCAGGCAGCUCCACAAUGCCCUUCCUUUUUCUGAAUGUUGUCUUGCUCUGGUGCUCACAGCUGAGGAGGGGGGCAGCACUGGUGCUUGGGGUAAUGAAUGAGAUACAUAUGUGGAUGUUUUGAGGUGCUGUGAAGACUGGUCUGUGAGAGAGGAGGCAAAUCUCAAGGGAAGUCUAUAUCUGUGCCUGUUAUGCAUUUGCACAGUGAGUUUGAAAAUGAAACUUUACCUCAGAGGACUGCAGAAUUUUUCAGCGUUGCAAGAAUUGGUUGAUUGGCUUAUAAUGUCAGCCAGCUCCAGAGCAUAGAAGCCUUAACUCCUGAGCAGCUCCAUGCUUUCUCAUCAGUAUUUAUGCCUUGUGUUAGGAGCAACAAAUGGGGAGCUGCUCCUUUCUCCUCUUCACCGAAGGACCCAUGAAAUCUGAAACAUUCUUGAAAUGACUGCUCAUGUUGAUACGAUUGCCUUUCUCUUUCUACAAGCCAGCAGGUAUAUGUGCUAUAUGCCUUCAAUAUCCAGGGUGAUUUUACAUGCUAUUUAUUGCUACAAGUCUAGUGUUACUUGAGUUGCAGUGCACCAAAUUAGUGGUAAGGAGGAGAAAAUGGAUUGAAGUCUGCAGGGAUUCUAACUGCUGGAAAAGGUUGCACAAACCUACCAUUUCCACUUUGUUCCUCAGGAGAGAAAAACAUGACAAAGCCCCUGUCUGUAUGCUAGACACGGGCUGGGAAAUGGACACUGAGGAAGAUCAGAGCAGUCUCUAAGGUGUGAUCUCCUGCCUCCGUGUGAGACAGCUCAGGAAUCCAUAUGGUCCUGCCAAGGCAAAGGUCUUCAGCUCCUCACAGAUCUCUCCACCUCUUGCUGCGGGCAGAAAGCUGGGUAGUGUUUUUGGACUUUGCUGCUUCAAACUUGUAAAACUUGUAUAGCAACUGUGAACCAAAACUCAAGUGAUACUCUAGCAAAACAAGCCUAUGCUUCUCCAGCACCUGCUUCUCUUGCGAGGAUGGGAAGGAAAAAUGGAUGGGUUUUGAGUUGUUUGAGGCACUUCAGGAGAACGCUGGGGUUAUACAAUUGUAGUGGUGCAUUCUCGUCACUGGGAGAGGAUAUGAGUUGGAAUAGAUCCCAGUGGCUCCUCUUCCCUCUUUGUCUAUGUACGAGGCAUAUAAGGACCUUGAUAGGAAAGUAACUUUAUGGAAAUGAAAUGCACUCAAAGCAGGAUUCAGGUAUUUGCUUCAAACAUAAACGUAAAGAGGAACAUGCAGCCCAGCUCCCUACAGUGCACAAGUUAAAGCUCUGCACGUCAUACCAUAUAGCACAACACGGCUGGUUUUGCAAAUGAAGUCCCCAGAGCAUCACAUUCACCUGCAAAGGCUCAGCUCUUCAGAGGAUGUCAGGAAUUAAGGAUUAAUAAGGAGAAAAAAAAGUUAAGUCCUGAAAAUAUGGCCAUCUAUGAUGGUGCUACUCAUGUAUUUUCUUCCUCACUUUGCCAAAGUUUUGCUUAGUUUUAUUUCUAUGAAACAGUUUACUUUAUUUGUGGACAAAGCCUGAUGGUCUUUCCUCCAGUGCUUUUUCAGUCAAAGCUCAAGAAACAUUAAAUAAAAACACAAGAAGACUGA